AAAAUACUCCCUCCGUUCCAAAUUCUAGUCUUGCAUUUGUCUAGAUACGGAUGUAUCUAGUUACGUUUUAGUGUUAGAUACAUCCGUAUCUAGACAAAUCUAAGACAAAAAUUUUGGGACGGAGGGAGUAGAUU
rfam:Triticum aestivum genome assembly, contig: Triticum_aestivum_CS42_TGACv1_scaffold_320304_4BL